GGUGGUUUGUCCGAGUGGUCUAAGGAGACGGUCUCAAGUUCCGUUGGCAUUGCCGCGUGGGUUCAAAUCCCACAGCCACCA